rnacentral:rRNA from 1 species
UCUUGACAUCCACGGAAGUUUUCAGAGAUGAGAAUGUGCCUUCGGGAACUGUGAGACAGGUGCUGCAUGGCUGUCGUCAGCUCGUGUUGUGAAAUGUUGGGUUAAGUCCCGCAACGAGCGCAACCCUUAUCCUUUGUUGCCAGCGGUCCGGCCGGGAACUCAAAGGAGACUGCCAGUGAUAAACUGGAGGAAGGUGGGGAUGACGUCAAGUCAUCAUGGCCCUUACGACCAGGGCUACACACGUGCUACAAUGGCGCAUACAAAGAGAAGCGACCUCGCGAGAGCAAGCGGACCUCAUAAAGUGCGUCGUAGUCCGGAUUGGAGUCUGCAACUCGACUCCAUGAAGUCGGAAUCGCUAGUAAUCGUGGAUCAGAAUGCCACGGUGAAUACGUUCCCGGGCCUUGUACACACCGCCCGUCACACCAUGGGAGUGGGUUGCAAAAGAAGUAGGUAGCUUAACCUUCGGGAGGGCGCUUACCACUUUGUGAUUCAUGACUGGGGUGAAGUCGUAACAAGGUAACCGUAGGGGAACCUGCG